UACAGAGGUCCCGAGCGUUGUUCGGAUUCACUGGGCGUAAAGGGUGCGUAGGUGGUUAGGUAAGUCCGAUGUGAAAUCUCCAGGCUCAACCUGGAAAUGGCAUUGGAUACUAUUUAGCUUGAGGAGUGGAGGGGGGACUGGAAUUCUCGGUGUAGCAGUGAAAUGCGCAGAUAUCAGGAGGAACACCGGUGGCGAAGGCGGUUCUCUGGGCCUUACCUGACACUGAGGAGCGAAAGCGUGGGGAGCGAACAGG
rnacentral:rRNA from 1 species